UACAGAGGGUGCAAGCGUUGUUCGGAAUUACUGGGCGUAAAGCGCGUGUAGGCGGUUCGGAAAGUCGGAUGUGAAAGCCCUGGGCUUAACCCAGGAAGUGCACUCGAAACUCCCGAACUAGAGUCCUGGAGAGGAAGGCGGAAUUCUCGGUGUAGAGGUGAAAUUCGUAGAUAUCGAGAGGAACAUCGGUGGCGAAGGCGGCCUUCUGGACAGCGACUGACGCUGAGACGCGAAAGCGUGGGGAGCAAACAGG
rnacentral:rRNA from 1 species